UGAGUACAUACCAUGCAUGUCCUUUUGGGUCUGGAUUACCUCACUCAGGACAUUUUCUAGUUCCAUCCAUUUGCCUGCAAAAUUCAUGACUUUCUCAUUUUUAAUCACUGAAUAGCAUUUCCAUUGUGUUAUUAUAGUCUUUUAAUGUUGUUUCCCAAUUUUUUCAAACACAAGUUGAAUCCAAGUCAUAAUUAUAGUAUGCUGUAGUAAAUUAAAAUUACACAUUUAUAGAUUUUUAAUGGUCAACUCUUUUUGUUAUAAGUUUUAAAUUAACUUCUUGUUAUAGGCUUUAUAUAUCUUUAACCAUACCUAAUAAAUUUAUAAAUCUUGAGACAAAACUUAUAUUUUAGCAAAAGUCUUAGAAGAUCAAGUAAAAUCAAUGGUCUGUUUUAUUUUGUUUUGUUUUGUGAGCGUACUCUCUCUCUUCUUGUCACAAAAUCAGGUGACUCACCUGUCAUUAAGGUGAUUAAGGUGAGUCAAACUUCUCCAUGCUUGGGUCUAGAGGAGAAGCCAUAACCCAACUCCCGAACCAGCUUUUCAAUAAAGUUGAGUAGCAUAAAACAGUAUUUCAAUAUAAUCCAUAUCAAAAAAUUGAAUCCAGUGACUAUAGGGAGUAAACUGAGAACAGAGAAGGCUCAGAGGUAGAAAUUCCAAGUUCUGGUUAUUAAAGCAGCCAUAGCAAUCCAUAAAAGUUGCUACGGUGCUGGUCUGGUGUUUCCUGCCAGGUCUAUUCCUUCCCACUUUUGCAGACACCCCCACCCCAAUUCUAAGUGCUUUCUGCUGCUCAUCUUCCUGAGUGCCACAGCCAACACCUAGUAGCAGACUCAGGAAGAGAAAACAAUGUUGCAUGGAAGUUUUCAGGUGGCUGGGGCAGCAGAUUUAAAGAGACAGACACAAGAGGGGGAAAGGAAAGAAGGAAAUAAAGAAGGAAAAAGAAAAAGAAUCCAGCAAUCAAAGAACAUGGAG
rnacentral:lncRNA from 1 species